UACAGAGGUCCCAAGCGUUGUUCGGAUUCACUGGGCGUAAAGGGUGCGUAGGUGGCCAGGUAAGUUUGGUGUGAAAGCCCGGAGCUUAACUCCGAAAAGUCAUUGAAUACUAUCUGGCUGGAGGGUCGGAGGGAGACUGGAAUUCUCGGUGUAGCAGUGAAAUGCGUAGAUAUCGAGAGGAACACCAGUGGCGAAGGCGAGUCUCUGGACGACUCCUGACACUGAGGAGCGAAAGCGUGGGGAGCGAACAG
rnacentral:rRNA from 1 species